rnacentral:lncRNA from 10 species
UUUUUGGUGUUAUUCUGUUUCUGUUGCAAGACUACAUUUGGGUGUGUGUGAGGAAGAUAUCUUUUAGUUUAAUAUCUUAGUUCAUUUUCUGUUGUUUGUAACAGAAUACCUGACACUGGGUUAUUUAUUUAAUAAGAAAGGUAUUUCUUACAGGUGUGGAGUCUAAGAAGUCCAAGGUUGAGGAGCUGCAUCUGAUGAGAGCCUUCUUGCUGGUUGGGAUCCUCUGCAGAGUCUUGAGUUGGGCAUUAAAAACUGUAUCACAGACACAUGAAUAUUGUAGGCCUCAUCUCCAAGUAUUACCACACUGAGGGUCAAGACUUCAACAUAUGGUGGAGAGCAGGAGGUCAUUUGCACACACCAACUCCCCUUAACCUUCUGUCAUGAGUGGAAGCAGCCUGAGGCCCUCACCAGAAUGAGGUGCUGGUGCCAUACUUCUUAUACAGCCUGGAGAACUUUCUGGAGACUGGAAAAUCCAAAACCACGGCACCAGCAUCUGGUGAAGAUCUUUUCAUGGCAAGAGAGAAAACACAUGCAUGUCAGCUCAAAUCUCUUUCUCUUUUAAUAAUGUUGCUAGUCCCAUCAUGGAGGCCCCAGCCUUAUGACCUUAUCUAAUGCUAAUUACAUCCAAAAGGCUCCACCUCCAAUCAACAUAUGAAUUUGGAAAUUAGGUUUCCAAUACGUGAAAUUUGGGAAAUGUAUUUAAACCACAAACAGCCAGUUUAAAAGAUUUUGCAUUGAAUAAUAAAAGUGAACCAACAAAUGUAU